GACGAACGCUGGCGGCGUGCUUAACACAUGCAAGUCGAACGGAAAGGCCCUGCUUUUGUGGGGUGCUCGAGUGGCGAACGGGUGAGUAACACGUGAGUAACCUGCCCUUGACUUUGGGAUAACUUCAGGAAACUGGGGCUAAUACCGGAUAGGAGCUCCUGCUGCAUGGUGGGGGUUGGAAAGUUUCGGCGGUUGGGGAUGGACUCGCGGCUUAUCAGCUUGUUGGUGGGGUAGUGGCUUACCAAGGCUUUGACGGGUAGCCGGCCUGAGAGGGUGACCGGCCACAUUGGGACUGAGAUACGGCCAAGACUCCUACGGGAGGCAGCAGUGGGGAAUAUUGCACAAUGGGCGGAAGCCUGAUGCAGCAACGCCGCGUGCGGGAUGACGGCCUUCGGGUUGUAAACCGCUUUCGCCUGUGACGAAGCGUGAGUGACGGUAAUGGGUAAAGAAGCACCGGCUAACUAAGUG
rnacentral:rRNA from 1 species